GUCAACCUGGGAUGCACAGAUCCUGCAGGCCUGUGAAACUGCUCUCAGAGAUCCAUAAAAAUGACUUAGAGAAGCAAGAUCAGGUAUGCGAUUCCUUGUGAAAAAAAAAGUGAACAGCCUUCUAGUCUGGACUGUGAGAUACAGGAGAUGGCAGAUUGAUUUAUGUAAUUCUGUUCUGCUGAUUUCCCCUGCUUCUGCUUGAAUUCCAGCCUGAGUUUCACAAUCUGAGUUUCACAACUGUUUUAAAGAGUCUGCUUUCUGGCUCUGGAAGCUGCCUGCCACACAGCUCCAGGCUUGCUUGGCUUCUUGCCAUUCCUGGUACAGGAAUCUCAGAAGCCAUAUGAAACCUUGUUUUGGCAGGGAGAAAUGCUAGUUUUACUCAGAAGUGGGCUGUUGGUGAGGAUGGAUACUGCCUGUGUUGGUGGUGAUGCUUCAACCCUCCUGUGUGUCUGGAUUCUUGCCUUCUAAGAAAUUUGUUUCUAACACUGCUCACCCAGUGAAUGGCCUGCUGUCGCUGACCUCACUUCAGCUGAGCCAAUCAAAGUGCUUUUGGGUCAAGACUGACUAUCCAAAGUCGUGGAUCUUAGGUAGGUGGGAGCCCCCAGUAGCCGAGUGA
rnacentral:lncRNA from 1 species